UCCUGCCUGGUCACUGGCCAUCAGUGUUUUAUUUAUAUAUAGAGCAAUAUCCACAGCAACUGACACAGAAUAUCAACACUACAGUGCACAGAAGCUGGAGCCCACCGUAGUUGGUAAUUUCAACCACUGGGAAACCACUGCCCCACUAGCCCUCUAGGAGGCAGCCAACAAGAACAGCUGAAAGGGUGAAGACAUCAGCGGCUGCCAAUCUAUCAAGAUUCAGCUACCGCUGCGAACCCAUCAGCUCCGUAGAAGGAAAAAAGGAACCCCUCGCCACAGCAAUUAUUUAUCCUGGCCUGAACUUCAGGUGACCUUUCCAGUUCCACAGAAGUUGCAGUUGGGAGCACCUUGAAAGAUCUUUGGGUGGUCCAUCCAUUGUGACAAGAGUACAGCACUGACUUGGCGAGGCAGUAAACCUCACCACUCCCUACCCUGCCCUCCCCACCCUGCCCUCUCCCCAAUCACAACGCUGUCGCCUGUCACCUGUCACCUGUGACCCUGCGACCUCCCCAGAGAUGGUUCAGAGAAGACCCCAGACAGCCCAGCUUGCAUCAGAAUGUCAACAAGGGCUGUUCUGUGCCAGAGGAUCCACUGUGACCCUGUGUGAUGCAGUGUCCUAAACUCUGAGAGUGUGUGUCCCCAAGUGGGAGGAAAAUCCAGGCCCUAAUAAGGGCUCUGCAGGGUGUAACUCCCUGUGUAAAUUUAAAGUGAGCUAAGGGACAUCAUUAUAUAAAUCUCAUCAUGAGACAAUAUACUUUUUAUUUGUUUGAAUUUUAUUUGUAUUGGUAAAACUGACCUGAAACUGACACAAGUUUAUUAGAAAAAGGGACUCCGUAAAAGCGAGUGGGCUGGUCUUCUUAUUUAAGAUGGAUGUGCCAACUUCUAGUAUGAUUAGAGAAAUGGAUAACUCACUAACAUCUGUGCAAACUACAAUAAAAAGGGAUUUAGUGUUACCCCAA